UGACGUCAAGAAGGUUUCACUGCACAUCUUCAAACGGAGCCCUGCCCACUAUCCGUCAGCCACCCACAGGCGUGGGAGAUGUAUUCCCGGACUCGGUGCGGAAACAGGAAAGAGGCCCCUCCUCCUCUCCAUCCUUCCAUGUUGCGGCUGUGUUCCAGUCAGGCGCCAGGAAGGCAGGAAUGUUGUAACAUCUUGCCCAUCAUUCUGGCCUUACGUUGAUCUUAAAAGAUGCGUCGUCGGCGCUGAGCCUUACUCCGCUGAAGAGCUUUGGGCCUAAGUAGCUUUGGGAGCAGGGAGAUCUUUUAAGACGCUGCAGCCCGGCACGAGACCCGCGGGCAGCUGUACAUGCCAUGCCCACACAGUAGGUCAGGUCAGACGGGGACUCGGGAAGGUGGAAAGAGUAAAGACAAUUGAUGCCAGUCUUCAAAACGAUGGUCCUCAUUUGCGAUCUAGUCUUAAAAUGUUCUCCAAACACACUGGAACCUUUGGCGCCAGCGUUAGCGUCAUUCAUUCGUUCCAGAAGGUCCGACUAUAACCGAAUACAUUUUUCCCAUAAGAAAUCAUAUAAAUCCAAUUCAUCCAUUCCAGAAAGUCCACAAU